rnacentral:misc_RNA from 1 species
GCCAUGUGAGUUUUUCUGCUCUUCAUUUGUAAACUGUACCAUUAGAUUGAAAUGUUUGAAAAUCAAUUGUACUUUAUCUGAUUCUCAGGCUUGUGUUUCUGACUACUCUUUCUAGUUCUUCAUCCUUGCUGUUGACUUUAGAAAUUAUAAUAUUUUCUUUCAACACUUCUAUUAUAUUCAUGCAGUUAAAGAGGCCAUUUUUCUCUCCUUCAAUUGUCA